GAUGAACGCUGGCGGCGUGCCUAAUACAUGCAAGUAGAACGCUGAAGGAAGGAGCUUGCUCUUUCCGGAUGAGUUGCGAACGGGUGAGUAACGCGUAGGUAACCUGCCUGGUAGCGGGGGAUAACUAUUGGAAACGAUAGCUAAUACCGCAUAACAGUAGAUGUUGCAUGAUAUCUACUUAAAAGGUGCAAUUGCACCACUACCAGAUGGACCUGCGUUGUAUUAGCUAGUUGGUGAGGUAACGGCUCACCAGGGCGACGAUACAUAGCCGACCUGAGAGGGUGAUCGGCCACACUGGGACUGAGACACGGCCCAGACUCCUACGGGAGGCAGCAGUAGGGAAUCUUCGGCAAUGGACGGAAGUCUGACCGAGCAACGCCGCGUGAGUGAAGAAGGGUUUCGGAUCGUAAAGCUCUGUUGUAGGAGAAGAACGAGUGUGAGAGUGGAAAGUUCACACUGUGACGGUAUCUUACCAGAAAGGGACGGCUAACUACGUG
rnacentral:rRNA from 1 species